rnacentral:rRNA from 1 species
AACGCGAAGAACCUUACCAGGUCUUGACAUCCCUGACAACCCGAGAGAUCGGGCGUUCCCCCUUCGGGGGGUACAGGGUGACAGGUGGUGCAUGGUUGUCGUCAGCUCGUGUCGUGAGAUGUUGGGUUAAGUCCCGCAACGAGCGCAACCCUCGACCUUAGUUGCCAGCAUUCAGUUGGGCACUCUAAGGUGACUGACCGGCUAAAAGUCGGAGGAAGGUGGGGAUGACGUCAAAUCAUCAUGCCCCUUAUGACCUGGGCUACACACGUGCUACAAUGGGCGGUACAAAGGGUCGCGAACCCGCGAGGGGGAGCCAAUCCCAAAAAGCCGCUCUCAGUUCGGAUUGCAGGCUGCAACUCGCCUGCAUGAAGCCGGAAUCGCUAGUAAUCGCGGAUCAGCAUGCCGCGGUGAAUACGUUCCCGGGCCUU